AGAGUUUUAGCUUAUUUAAAGUACUUGUAUUGCGGACAGGAGAUGUGAAACCUUCGCAAACUCU
rnacentral:tRNA from 1 species